GUUUUUCUCUUCUGCAGCCUUUGGGGGAAAGAGAGAAUUGCUAAUGACCUUCCUCCAUUACCCAACAUUGAUCUGUGGGAGGGAAGGCCGUCGCCUGGUCUUCCUGCCUUUCCCUGUGUGUAUCCCUCUGGAUGUACUAACAAGGGCUUAACCAGAGAUGAAUAAGUGCCAAGGCAUUUCCAGCUUACAGCACUUCUCCAAAAUCCCUCCUCCCUCUCCUUCCUCUUUUCCCUUUCCUCCCCACCCCUCUAUGUCCCCAGCCCUGGUCCUUGGGGGCUCCGGGCAAAAGUCAUCCUCCUGGAGGAGAUGAUCCUGCAGUCCUGCCCAGACCAGGAGGGAGACCUUGUUAAUUGCAGACUUAUCCUGAUUACUACCAGCUCUCAGCCAGUGAGCCACAGGAGGCAAAGCCAAGGCUUAGUGGAGACAUUUGGAGCAGCUGGAGUCUGCUGGAGUAGGGUUUCCUCCUGACCCUGGGGACCCAACUUGGGAGAAAGCCCUGGGAUUCAAAAACUCAGUUCAUCUAUCGGUCAGUAUUGGCUGGCUGCAGUGCGUUCUACAGAACAUUCAAAGGAGUCCUGAAUUUCAUUUUUUGAAAGAUACGAGUUGAACCAACAAAGAAGUACUGGAAGAGAAUUUGAGCUCCAGUGACUCAAGCUAUAACACCGCUUCCUCUCCUCCUGCCUGGCAGGACCCCAGAAGAGA
ensembl:lncRNA